rnacentral:rRNA from 1 species
GCAGGUCGAGGGGUAUAGGUUUUCGGACCUAGAGACCGGCGCACGGGUGCGUAACGCGUAUGCAAUCUACCUUUUACAGAGGGAUAGCCCAGAGAAAUUUGGAUUAAUACCUCAUAGUAUUAUUGAAUGGCAUCAUUUAAUAAUUAAAGUCACAACGGUAAAAGAUGAGCAUGCGUCCCAUUAGCUUGUUGGUAAGGUAACGGCUUACCAAGGCAACGAUGGGUAGGGGUCCUGAGAGGGAGAUCCCCCACACUGGUACUGAGACACGGACCAGACUCCUACGGGAGGCAGCAGUGAGGAAUAUUGGUCAAUGGGCGCAAGCCUGAACCAGCCAUGCCGCGUGCAGGAUGAAGCAUCUAUGGUGUGUAAACUGCUUUUGUACGAGAAGAAACACUCCUUCGUGAAGGAGCUUGACGGUAUCGUAAGAAUAAGGACCGGCUAACUCCGUGCCAGCAGCCGCGGUAAUACGGAGGGUCCAAGCGUUAUCCGGAAUCAUUGGGUUUAAAGGGUCCGUAGGCGGUUUUGUAAGUCAGUGGUGAAAGCCCAUCGCUCAACGGUGGAACGGCCAUUGAUACUGCAAGACUUGAAUUAUUAGGAAGUAACUAGAAUAUGUAGUGUAGCGGUGAAAUGCUUAGAGAUUACAUGGAAUACCAAUUGCGAAGGCAGGUUACUACUAAUGGAUUGACGCUGAUGGACGAAAGCGUGGGUAGC